CUUUGAAAAAUACAUUUUAUUAAAUAUUUUAUGUGAUAUGUGCUAUGUGCUAUCUGAUUGACAUGUGAUGUAUUUACGUGAUUGAUAUAAAAUUGUGUUUGACAUAUCUUUUGAUCCGUAAAUCGGAUUUGGGUGAAACGAAGGGUAGAUAGAAGCUCGUUUCGAAUAAAGGAUGAUAAGAAUAGUAUGAGAUCAUAUAUUGAUAAAGAAUUGUUGUGAUUAGCAGAAGAAGCGAGACGUAGGAAGGGAAAGCAAGUGGUGAUAGAGUAGUAUAGCGAGCAAGCGUAGUUGAAACUUGAGAUCAGCUAUAUAAGGCAAAGAAAGUUGGUAACGAUGACCCUCAGGCUAGUAGUAAGGUCAGGAUUCCAGGCUAGGAGAUGAAGAGAGCUAUCAGCAGCACCUGGCUUUUCAUAUAUGUACUAGUUUGAAUAACGAGACACAAAUGGCGUGUAAGCUUGUAAGAUUUAAGUUUUUAUUUUGGGAUUUGGGUUUGUAAUAAUUAAAGUUGUGUUGUGGCUUGUUUUAUACUUUAACCUGUUGCGAUCCAAGGACAGUGAAGGGUCACUAUAUAUAUUAUAUCAUUAAUUA